CGGAGUUUGCACUUCCGGUUUAGCAUUACUGUUCUACGAUCGUUUGCAGCUGUUUAUUCGGCGGAGCACAACCUCAGGUAGAGAAAACUCUCCACCCUUACUUCGUCCUUGGUUUUGAGUUUGAUGGCGCAGGGGGAAAUCCUGUCUCCCCUCCACUGAGGUCGCCUGGGCGCAUCGUUCCUGUAAUGACUGUUAUUCCUAUAAACCUCCAGAUGCUCCAACCUGAAGGGGGCAGUCCGAGUUUUCCACGGCCGCAGGCUGGAAGAGGCUUUAAUGAACAGCAGGACCAACUGCAGAGGAAUCCACGCCGAACUGCAGGUGCUUUUGAUAAAUCUUAAGAUCUCUUUCUGGAGUUUUAUGCUACUUUUAAACUCAAUACACACACAAAAAAACUGCUAGGGCCAAAUGUAGACCAAAGUAAAACAACAAAGAGCAAAUUUUCACCAAAAUACCCUCAUGUAUGUGUCAAAGAAUUUUACCUCAAGUCCCAAUUUUGCAGGAUAAAUGUGCUAAAUUUGUUUGAAGGCAUAAAUUUAUUAAAUAUGUUAGUUUAUCAGCUUAUUUUAAACAUUACAAGUAUACUUAAUAAAGACUGUACACCUUUCACAUAUAAAAGCUCAAUUUUAUGUCCAAAAUGGGAAAGACAUAAAAUAAAAUAGUUUAAUAUAAACUAAUAUAAAAGCUCAGAUAUUCUCUGAUGUUAUGUUAGAUGUUUGUGAUCAAAUAAAUGUCAGAAGUUUGCUAAAGGCUAAUGUGAAACAAUGGCGUCAAUGUAGGUAGAAACAAUUAUGUAGGAGUACAUUUCUGCCAAAAAACAUUCUAGAGAAAACAAAUUUGAAAAAUCAAAAAUUUGCUAAAAAACACAGAAAGUUUGAGGCUA